rnacentral:piRNA from 1 species
UGGAAACCAGACACGACAGAUAGCUCUCUC